UACGAAGGGGGCUAGCGUUGCUCGGAAUCACUGGGCGUAAAGGGUGCGUAGGCGGGUUCUUAAGUCAGAGGUGAAAUCCUGGAGCUCAACUCCAGAACUGCCUUUGAUACUGAGAGUCUUGAGUUCGGGAGAGGUGAGUGGAACUGCGAGUGUAGAGGUGAAAUUCGUAGAUAUUCGGAAGAACACCAGUGGCGAAGGCGGCUCACUGGACUGGUAUUGACGCUGAGGUGCGAAAGCGUGGGGAGCAAACAGG
rnacentral:rRNA from 1 species